AUAUUUACAAUAGUUUCUAUAAUUUAAAUUAUAGAUGAGAAAUGCUUAAAUAAUGGAACAAUCAGAAAUGGCUUAUCUUCUGCGGGAAAAUCGACCAAAAUAAUUAUUUAUACAGAAAAUCCAGAUUAACAGGUUUAAUUGUCGCCAUUUACAAGUCAUAAAGCUUUAAUCACCUAUACAACAUCAUCCAAUGGCUAAACAAUGGGAAA
rnacentral:misc_RNA from 1 species